rnacentral:tRNA from 1 species
CGGGGCGUAGCGCAGUCUGGUAGCGCACCUGCUUUGGGAGCAGGGGGUCGGAGGUUCGAAUCCUCUCGCCCCGACCA